rnacentral:rRNA from 1 species
AGAGUUUGAUCCUGGCUCAGAUGAACCUGCGACAGGCCUAACCAUGCAAGUCGAGGGGUAACAGGGAGAGCUUGCUUCCGCUGAGACCGGCGCACGGGUGAUAACACGUAUGCAACCUGCCUGUAAUUGCGGAUAGCCUUUUGAAAGGGAGAUUAAUACCGCAUGUGAUUAUAUUACCGCUGGUAUAUACUUAAAUGCAAAGAUUACAGAUGGGCAUGCGUUUCAUUAGCUGGUGGGGGGGUAACGGCCCACCAGGCUACGAGAAUAGGGGUUCUGAAGGAAGGUCCCCCACCCUGGUACUGAGACACGGACCUACUCCUACGGGAGGCACAGUGAGAAUAUUGGUCAGGACGGAAGUCUGAACCCCUGCGCGUGAGAAUUACUGCCCCUAUGGGGUUUUAACUGCUUUUAACGAGGAUAAAAUGUACUAUGUAUAGUAUAUGCAGGGUAUCGAUUGAAUAAAGGAUCGGCAACUUCCGGACCAGGCACCGCGGAAUACGGGAACCCGACGUUAUCCGGAUUUAUUGGUUUAAAUGGGUGCUAAGGCUGGAAAAUUAUUCCCCGGGAAGUUCACGGGCUUAACUUUGAAAUUGCCGUUGAAACUGUUUUUCUUGAGUAUAUUGGAAGUAGGCGGAAUGUGUAGUGUAGCGGUGAAAUGCAUAGAUAUUACCAGAACCCCGAUUGCGAAGGCAGCUUACUAUACUAUUACUGACGCUGAUGCACGAAAGCGUGGGGAUCAAACAGGAUUAGAUACCCUGGUAGUCCACGCUGUAAACGAUGAUAACUCGCUGUUUGCGAUAUACCGCAAGUGGCCAAGCGAAAGCGUUAAGUUAUCCACCUGGGGAGUACGCCGGCAACGGUGAAACUCAAAGGAAUUGACGGGGGCCCGCACAAGCGGAGGAACAUGUGGUUUAAUUCGAUGAUACGCGAGGAACCUUACCCGGGCUUGAAAUGCAUCUGACGUACUGUGAAAGCAGUAUUCUAGCAAUAGCAGAUGUGUAGGUGCUGCAUGGUUGUCGUCAGC